CUUGAACUCCCUCCAUCCGAAAAUACUUGUCAUUGAAAUGGAUGUAUCUAGAUGUAUUUUAGUUCUAGACACAUCCAUUUUGAUGACAAGUAAUUCCGUACCGAGGGAGUACUUG
rfam:Triticum aestivum genome assembly, contig: Triticum_aestivum_CS42_TGACv1_scaffold_434140_5DL